rnacentral:rRNA from 1 species
GCUUGGGCUUCUUUGCUGACGAGUGGCGGACGGGUGAGUAAUGUCUGGGAAACUGCCUGAUGGAGGGGGAUAACUACUGGAAACGGUAGCUAAUACCGCAUAACGUCGCAAGACCAAAGAGGGGGACCUUCGGGCCUCUUGCCAUCGGAUGUGCCCAGAUGGGAUUAGCUUGUUGGUGGGGUAACGGCUCACCAAGGCGACGAUCCCUAGCUGGUCUGAGAGGAUGACCAGCCACACUGGAACUGAGACACGGUCCAGACUCCUACGGGAGGCAGCAGUGGGGAAUAUUGCACAAUGGGCGCAAGCCUGAUGCAGCCAUGCCGCGUGUAUGAAGAAGGCCUUCGGGUUGUAAAGUACUUUCAGCGGGGAGGAAGGGAGUAAAGUUAAUACCUUUGCUCAUUGACGUUACCCGCAGAAGAAGCACCGGCUAACUCCGUGCCAGCAGCCGCGGUAAUACGGAGGGUGCAAGCGUUAAUCGGAAUUACUGGGCGUAAAGCGCACGCAGGCGGUUUGUUAAGUCAGAUGUGAAAUCCCCCGG